rnacentral:rRNA from 1 species
GGGGGGGGGGGGGGGGGGGGCGGGGGGGUGCGGGGGGGGCGCGGCCGGCGGGGCGGGGGGCGGAGGGGUAGUUGACGCGGGGGGACCUGCCGUUGGGGUGGUAGUAACUCCCCUGGAGUAGAGCUAAUGCCGGAUAAUGUGUUCACACCCAAGAUUUAUCGCCGUUGGCGUGUCCCGCGUUUGAUUAGCUAGUUGGUAGGGUAACAGCGUACCAAGGCGACGAGCCAUAGCUGGUCUGCGAGGAUGCCCCGCCACACCGGGACUGAGACACGGCCCAGACUCCUACGGGAGGCAGCAGUGGGGAAUAUUGGACAAUGGGCGAAAGCCUGAUCCAGCAAGGCCGCGUGAGUGAUGAAGGCCUUAGGGUUGUAAAGCUCUUUUACCCGGGAUGAUAAUGACAGUACCGGGAGAAUAAGCUCCGGCUAACUCCGUG